rnacentral:rRNA from 2 species
AAACUUUCAACAAUGGAUCUCUUGGUUCCGGC